AAGUCGUAACAAGGUUUCCGUAGGUGAACCUGCGGAAGGAUCAUUAAAGAAUACCGGCUUCGCAGCCAAUAUUCUCACCCUCUGUAUACCAAACUUUGUUGCUUUGGCAGGCCCCUGGCUUCAGCUGGACUGCGCCUGCCAGAGGACCCCUAACUCUCGAAUCUCUGCUGUCUGAGUACUAUCUAAUAGUUAAAACUUUCAACAACGGAUCUCUUGGUUCUG
rnacentral:misc_RNA from 1 species